rnacentral:rRNA from 1 species
UGAGGAAUAUUGCACAAUGGGGGAAACCCUGAUGCAGCAACGCCGCGUGGAGGAUGACGCAUUUCGGUGUGUAAACUCCUUUUAUAAGGGAAGAAAAUGACGGUACCUUAUGAAUAAGCACCGGCUAACUCCGUGCCAGCAGCCGCGGUAAUACGGAGGGUGCAAGCGUUACUCGGAAUCACUGGGCGUAAAGGACGCGUAGGCGGGUUGGUAAGUCAGAUGUGAAAUCCUACAGCUUAACUGUAGAACUGCAUUUGAAACUACCGACCUAGAGUAUGGGAGGGGGAGAUGGAAUUAGUGGUGUAGGGGUAAAAUCCGUAGAUAUCACUAGGAAUACCGAAAGCGAAGGCGAUCUCCUGGAACAUUACUGACGCUAAGGCGUGAAAGCGUGGGGAGCAAACA